AAAGCAGACCAUGCGGCCGCCCUUGUCAACGCAGGGGAGGAAAGUCCGAGCUCCAUAGGGCAGGACGGUUGUUAACGGCAACCGGGGGUGACCCCAGGGAAAGUGCCACAGAAAAUACACCGCCCAAGCAACGCGUAUCUAUUUGGGUAAGGGUGAAAUAGUGAGGUAAGAGCUCACUGCUCCCUGUGGUGACACAGGGGACAGGUAAACCCCGUCCGGAGAAAGGUUGAAUAGGUCUCACUCCAGUCAGAGCACGCCCACUCUGUUGCCAUAAUGUCGGCAAGGUGAGACGGGUAGCAACCGCACAAGGCUGAUAGCAAUAUCAAAUGUCUUAGACGAAUGACCGCAUAAAACAGAACUCGGCUUACGGUCUGCUUUAAAC
rnacentral:RNase_P_RNA from 1 species